GAUGAACGCUAGCGGCAGGCUUAAUACAUGCAAGUCGAGGGGUAGCAAGAUUGUAGCAAUACAAUUGUUGACGACCGGCAAACGGGUGCGGAACACGUACACAACCUUCCUACAAGUGGGGAAUAGCCCAGAGAAAUUUGGAUUAAUACCCCGUAACAUAGCGAUGUGGCAUCACAUUACUAUUAUAGCUUCGGCGGUUGUUGAUGGGUGUGCGGCUGAUUAGAUAGUUGGCGGGGUAACGGCCCACCAAGUCUACGAUCAGUAGCUGAUGUGAGAGCAUGAUCAGCCACACGGGCACUGAGACACGGGCCCGACUCCUACGGGAGGCAGCAGUAAGGAAUAUUGGACAAUGGACGCAAGUCUGAUCCAGCCAUGCCGCGUGAAGGAUUAAGGUCCUCUGGAUUGUAAACUUCUUUUAUAAGGGACGAAAAAAGGUCUUUCUAGAUCGUCUGACGGUACCUUAUGAAUAAGCACCGGCUAACUCCGUGCCAGCCGCCGCCGUAACAC
rnacentral:rRNA from 1 species